CAGGUCCUGCGGUGUUUGUGUUUUCCUUUUUGGGAACAACGGCUUAAUAAACCCACAUCAUUCUGAAGGGACGCUGAUUUGAGUCUGCGGAUUGCAGGCCUCCCGGUCUAUACCGGACGUUGGAAGCAGCGAAACAGAACUUAGGCGACCCACCUGCCGACUGUGCAGGUUAACUUUAAGCCGGCACGGCAUUCGCGGGAUCUUU
rnacentral:other from 1 species